GUGACGCGCAUAAAAUCUUCUUUCUAUGGGAAUAAAGUUAUAGGUGACAGUGUUCCAGCACUUGAAACCCUCUUAUUGACAGGUAUGUCUGAACUGGAAAAAAUAGAAGAUGUUGGCCUGAAUAUGAAGAGGGUAUUUCCAAGGCUUAAAUCCUUGAAAAUCUACGGGUGCCACAAAUUGGAAUAUAUGUCUCCCAAGUUGGUUACUCGUUCAGGCUUUUGGUCUCAAAGAAAUGGAUGUAAGAAAUUGCUCUAAAUUGAGUGCUUUACCAGAUCAUCUAGAUAACCUCAAUUCACUAGAGUCGUUGACUAUAAAAGGUUGUCAAAAUCUGAAGUCAAUAGUGAACCCAGAGAGUCGACGGGAGUUAACAUCCCUUUGUAGUUUGGAGAUUCGUGAAUGCCAAAAGCUGACGGAUAUUCUAGAGUCACAUGCACCUUCGCUCAAGAAAGUGUCUUUGGUGGAACUAAAAAGCCUAGGGAAUAUAUCUAAGUUUCUUGAUACCUUGGAACAGUACUCACCUUUGCUAGCACAACUGACAAUUGUAGGUAUACCUAAGUUCAUAUCCUAUUAUGAGAAAUGGCAAUUCAACAAUCAGCGAAAAUUAGAGAUUGAUGUUUCUAUGGAGUUGUCAAGCGGGAUUUGUGAUGUCAUGAAGAAGACAGUUGACAUCAUGCUGCAAAGCUGCCGCUCAUCACUUGGUGAGCUAAAGUUGACAGGGCUGGAAAUUUGGGAUGUGGUGCCUGAAUCAAUUCCACAUUUCGCUGCUCCUGAUACUACUGCCCUUUAUAGUUUAGAGUUGGAGAAUUUUGGAGUAACUGAGUUGCCUAAAUGGUUUAAGGAUCUCUCAUGUCUGAAAAAGUUAUGUCUAUCAAAUUUUCCAAAGUUGACACAUCUGCCCUCGAUGAAGCACUUCAACGAAUUGCAGGAGUUCCACAUAUGCAAUUGUCCAAAAAUAAAUAUGGAAUAUGAGGGGCUCAAGAUUUACCGUCGCUGUGCCAUCUAUGUUAAUCGUGACCCGCUUUAGAUCCCCUCCUCAAUUAUCAUCUGUCUAUGCCGAGAAGAAAUCGACAAUGUUUCAAGGGACGGAGGAUGAAAAUAUUGUUACUAGCUACUAUUAUUACCAUCAGCUAAGUUGAUCCAGUUACAGAUUAUCAUGACUUGCUAUCCUAUCACAUUGUGUUCAGUCAUAAGAAAAUAUAG